rnacentral:rRNA from 1 species
UACGGGGGGAGCAAGCGUUGUUCGGAUUUACUGGGCGUAAAGGGCGCGUAGGCGGUCAGCACAAGUCAGUUGUGAAAUCUCCGGGCUUAACCCGGAAAGGUCAACUGAUACUGUGCGACUAGAGUGCGGAAGGGGCAACUGGAAUUCUCGGUGUAGCGGUGAAAUGCGUAGAUAUCGAGAGGAACACCUGCGGCGAAGGCGGGUUGCUGGGCCGACACUGACGCUGAUGCGCGAAGGCGUGGGGAGCGAACGGG